rfam:Picea glauca, whole genome shotgun sequence.
GUAAUGGUGUCUUUAGACACCACCCCUUUUUGGUUUUUAUUGUUCU